rnacentral:snoRNA from 1 species
GAAUUUCUUCACCUGAACUCAAUGUUGAACCAAUUUGACAGAGCUUUUUAACCCUGAGG